ensembl:miRNA
CCUGCCUCUGCCUCCUGAGCCCUGGGACUAAAGACCUGAGUUGCUGGGAUUACAGACCUGAGCCACUAGGCUCAGCCUAAAUCCACUUUUGUGUCCAG